rnacentral:lncRNA from 1 species
GGAGGACCCGCCGGACUCUUGUGGCUCCGUGAUGCCGGCCUCACCUCGCUCACUUGGGGCGAGCGAUGCCAAUAGUGUGGGGUUGGAGGUCUUCCCACCCUCUUCGCCCCGGGUGGGUUCAUCGGUGGGGCGUUCAGAUGAGCCCAACCCCACUCUGUCACUGCUGCCAACACGUGAUGGGCCCGAUGGUUCGCCUUCGUCCCCUGAUGCGACGAUGCACCCCUCCACCCGGCUGUUUGACAGGCCCCUAGACCCGCCGCCUCACCCACCCCGUCCCAAAGGCAGGCCCUAGUUGGCCUCUUCUCCUACGACGGUGGCAUGGAAGAGUGCGCUCAUCGAUUCUUCGAGCGUGGUGGGGGCGUCGCCCAACGCCAUCGAGAAGGCCGAGCGUCGGGCGGCGUUACGUGACCUGGACCUAGGUCCGUCCCUCGACCCUUCCAUUGCAACUUCUAUUGGUGAUGUUUCGUUAUCCUUUUCCGUGCUUGUGAGUGUACCCCUUGGUCGGCUGGCUAAAAUUGCAUACGAUGCUGCCAUAGUGUUUCGUGGGGAAAAAGGUCCCGCGAUUGAGCAGCUCGCUGCCAUUCAGGCAAAGCAAAUCCUUGAUGAAUGCCUGUUGGCAGCACGGGCUUGGGCUACAGCUGAGGGUACGAAUACCUCACGGCCUCUGGCGUGUGGGGAGGUUGGCCCUCUGGCCCCGACGGAGAUCCGCGGCCGCAAUCGUGCCCGCACUUUGCUGCUCCACCGCACCAACAGCGCCUUUGCUGCUCCAGGAUCCAGGGUGGACCCCCUAGAUGGAUAGGUGCGGGCACUAUUUUGGAACCUCCACGGCUUUGGGAAUGAUGGCCGCCGCAGGCAGCUCAUCGACUACAUGUUGGACGAAGCCAUUGACAUCGUUGCCAUCUCUGAAACCAUGCGAACUGAUUUUUCGCUACCCGAACUAGAGCACCUUAGUAGGCACUUAUUUGCCUGGCACUGGCUACCCUCCUCGGGGGUAGCUGGCCACUCGGGUGGCAUCCUCCUAGGGGUGAAGGAUACCACAUUUGAUGUUGGGUCCAUGGACCGGGGAGAGUUCUUUGUUAGCAUGGAAGUGUGGGAACGAGAUGUGAACUUGAAAUGGGAAGUCAUAGUGGUGUAUGGUCUAUCCAACGACACAUGAUCUCAGGUCUUCUUAGAUGAGUUGCACCGUAAGAUUGAGGCGCCACCCUCCCCUUGAUUAUAGGGGGAGACUUUAACCUCUUACGGUCUCCUUUAGAGAUCUACCGCAAGGAAGAGGCUUACUGGUGGCAGCGGGGAGCCUGCAGCUGGGUGCUCUUUGGUGAUGCCAACACCGCAUACUUCCAUGCUAUCGCUAAUGGCCGCAGACGGAGAUGCACCAUCCCACUCCUUUGGGAUGGUGAUCAGCUGGUGCAAGAGCCCGGAGAGAUUCGGAUGCACAUGGACGGCUUUUAUAAGGAGCUCUUUGCGGCCCGAACGAGGUCGGGCAUUGCACUGGCUUACUCCAUUUUGGAUAGGGGCCAACGGGUCACGGCCGUUGAGAAUAGGGCCCUCCUCACUCCUUUCGAGGAGGAAGAGGUGCCCACGAUCAUCAAAGGGAUGAAUCCAUACUCGGCUCCGGGACGAGAAGGCCUGUCGGUCAGGUUUUCCCAGACAUUCUGGCAUUCCAUCAAGGGAGAGAUUGUGGCGCUCUUUCACGAGUUUGAACAGGGUGUUUCCAACCUCUCGCGGCUGAAUUUCGGGAUAAUCUUCCUCACCCCGAAGGUGCCCGGGGCCUCGGAUAUUAGGCAGUUUCGGCCAAUAACUGUCAUCAAUGUAAUCUUCAGGAUUUUAGCUAAAGGGUACACUAGUAGGGCGGCCCUUUUAGCGCCACGGAUUACCCAUCCCAACCAGAAGGCCUUUGUCAAAGGUCAUCUAAUCCUGGAUGGGAUUCUGGUCCUUCACGAAGUCAUUCAUGAAAUCAAGGCCAAGCGAUUUUGCACGGUCUUCUUAAAGAUCGACUUCCACAAGGCCUACGAUACGAUUCAUUGGUCCUUUGUGCGGGAAAUGAUGACCAAAAAGGGUUUCGACCGUUUCUAGAUUACUAGGAUUAUGCAAAUGGUGAUGAGCGGUAAGACGGCCGAUAAUUCAGCGACGAGGUUGGUCCUUACUUCCCAACUGGCCAAGGAGUAAGGCAGGGAGACCCAUUCUCCCCCUUCUUAUUCAACCUCGUGGUUGAUGCCUUGGCCGCUAUCCUGGACAAGGCCAAAGGGGUCGGCCACCUCACGGGCCUGUGCCACCACCUUCUUGGGGCUGGGGGCAUCACCCAUCUCCAAUAUGUCGAUGACAUGAUCCUGAUGGUAGAAGGAUCGUCUCAGGACAUUGCCCACCUGAUGUUCCUCCUCCUGUGCUUCGAGGAGAUAUCCGGCCUAACCAUUAACUUUGCCAAAAGCGAAGUCAUGGCCCUGGGCUACUCAGACAAGGAUAAGCUUCGGAUUACAAAUAGUCUUAACUGUAGUCUGGGGACUUUCCGGACCAUUUACCUUGGCUUGCCCGUCAACGACUCUCGCAUCCUGGAGAAGGAUCUGAGACCCACAAUGUCCAAGGUACAACACCGGGUGGAUCCGUGGCAAGGACGUUGGCUAUCCAAAGCGGCUCGGGUGGUGCCUAUCAACUCGUCGAUGACGAGUUUAUUGAUGUAUCUGAUGGGGUUCUAUAGCCUAAAUGAAUCCCUUCAUCAUGAGAUUGUCAAGUACCAAUCGCGGUUUUUCUGGGCUGGGAAAGGCGAUAAAUAGAAAUAUCACAUGGUCAAAUGCUCGGCGAUAUGCAAACCCAAGGACCAGGGGUGUCUUGGGAUUAUCUCAUCCAAGAGGAUGAAUAUUGCACUCCUCUCCAAAUGGCUAUGGAGAAUAGGAGCAGUCGAAGGUGGUCUCUGGCUAGAUAUUAUCCGGGCCAAAUACCUUCGGGGACAACCCUUAGCUUUUGAUGACGAGAUGAUGUAUAUACUUCUCGCACCUUGUUGGUUACCCCAAGUGGAAGGUUGAGAUGUAAUCAGCAACAAGUUUUCCCUCACACGGGAACUGUAAGGUUUAUCGAAACAGGAGGACUCCUAGGAUCAACAAGUAGGUGUCUUCCACCCUGGUGUUAGCAGAAGACGUGGACCUGCACACAUAACAAAUAACUUUGCUCCCAACGAGUAUAGAGAGGUUGUCAAUCUCUCCGGCCUUGUAGUUUGCAAAGGAUCAAAACACAAGCGGGAAGGUAAUAGUGAUUGCAACGGAAAAGUAAAUGAAAAUGGUAAAUGAUGGAGGUGUAAACAAAGAUGAUGAUAUGGACCGGAGUCACAUGAUGUUCACUAGUGUUGUCUCUCUCCCAAAAGACGAUAAACAACUAUGCUUGGGUAAACAAAUCACAGUUGGGCAAUUGACAGAAUUAUGAACGCACCGCAAUGCUAAUUAUGCUACUUGAUAUACAGGUUCAAUAUUAGUGGGCAGUACGCCAAGAAAAGUAGAUCGUUUAUUCAUCAUCAUCUAUUUAAUAAUCAUCCACCUUGAUAUAUCUAUCCAGAACAUCUCUCCGGUAUUAAGUUGCGAGCCCCACCCAAAGUGUAAACUCAAAGCAACAGACAACUGCAUUAACGAACUAUGCGUAAGAUAAACAAUCCUUGCAACCGCGGUCACAAGCACCGUUGUUUUCUCCCUGGUGGCAACAGCACAUCCCCUAGUCUCAUGUUUCUGUCACUCAAGCUAGACAUUGAGGGGCAUGAAUCCACAAUCAUGCACAACGCUCCCUCUUGGAGUUACAAUCUACUACUCGGCCAAAGCAAUAAAUAGCAAUGGAGAACAUGCAUGAAUCACUAAGGAACAUAAUAUAAAAGGAUAAUCAAAUAUAUAACUCAUAACAAUCGGAACAUAAUCUCAUAAUCCAUCGGAUCCCAACAAACCGAGCAUAGCAAUAGCAAGAGAAUUACAUAGAUGCCUUGAUCAUGUACGGCAGCUCACAAGGACUAACCAUUGAAGCACAAGAUUGGAGAGAAGACAUCACAUAGAUACUAUUCAUGGACCCAUGGUCCAAGGAGGACUACUCACGGCACGUCCGGGAAGCGUCCAUGGCGGUGGAGAAGCUCCCGGAGGUCAAUCCUCCCUUCGGCGGGGUGCUGGGAAGAGGUCUCCUGACGCUCCCAAUCUCGGAAGCGCUGCGGUGGCGAAACGAUAGAGAAAUUCGCAAUUCUGGAAGUUGUGGAAGGGUUUCCUCUUGGGACUCUAAAUAUAGGCCAAAGGAGGGCACCGGAAGAGGUGGGGCCCACCCAGGCGGCCUCCUGGCGCGGCCUAGGGCCUGGCCGCGCCAGCAGGUCGCGUGGGCCGCCCCUGGCCCCCCUCUUGGCCAUUUUCGGUGACCCGAAAGCUUCUAUUUCGCUGAUUUUUUAUAUAUUUUUUCUGUAAUUUUUCGAGCUUCGGAAAAUUGGGUAAAAGCCCCUACAAAAUAGACAUCAGCAGACAGAAACUGGCACUAGGUGCACUGAGUUAGUAGGUUAGUCAAAAUAUGCGUAAAAUGAUAAAAGUGUAGCAAAACAUAUAACAUUGUCACCCAAAAGAUCAUGGAAGAAGCAAAAAUUGUAAAGACGUUUGGGACGUAUCAGCUUUCGCAACCAGAACUGGGGGCUCCCUGUUCUGGCAGUCCAUCGUCCAACUCAUGCCAGUUCUCCGUCUGGGCUGUUCCAUCGACAUGGGAAGAGGAAACUCCACCUUAUUCUGGCUUGACCGAUGGUGCGGUCAGCAGGCCUUUGCUUCUCGAUUCCAGCCUCUUUUUUGCAUUUGCGUCCAUCAGCUCAUCUCAGUGGAGGACGCGCUACCUGAUCUAAUGGGUAUAGCCUUCAGAAGGUCUUUCGUUCCCGCUGAGCGGGACAUAUGGGAUGAGCUUCUUCAGUGUGUGGCUCUACACCCUCCGUCCAUAGAAGAGGAUGUAAUCCAUUGGGACCUGGAUCCUAGUGGACGGUUCUCAACCAAAUCGCUAUACCAAGCGAUUUUACCGACCCCAGGACCGACUGAACUGAAUAUUCUGUGGGAAAUUAAGGUGCAUUGAAGAACAAGAUUUUCCUGUGGCAACUGCUGCGCGGCUUGGUGCCGUCCGGGGCGGAGGUGUUGAAACAACACGGCCCCUUCGAUGGAUUGUGUCCUCUGUGCUAGGUCCCAGAGGACUACAAUAACAUUUUCUUCGUGUGCCCGACGGCGAGGUUCAUGUGGUGCAAUCUACGGGAGGCGGUUGGUGGUAGUUGGUGCCACGACAACCUCCCUGAUCUGUUUGCCGAGGUCCUAGGGACUCACGGUGAGGCUGUGAGGCUGGCCCUGUGGGUUAUCAUCGGUGCCCUUCUAUGGACCCUCUGGAAUAUAAGGAAUAAACUUGUGAUAGAGCAUGUUAUCCCUUUACGUGCGACUGAUGCAAUCUUCAAAUUAUGUGGUUUCAUCCAGAUUUGGCGGCCGCUUAGUUGGCGCAAUGACCGGGACCCCAUUGACAUUGCAUCUGCUGCAUUGAGAGUUGUCGCCACUCGCCUGACAUCCCCUCCGACGACACUUCCACCGCCACCUCCGGAGCCAGAUUAGCUUCGCUACUUUCUUUCUUUAUUUGGGGUUACAUGUGAUGUGCCCCCAGCAUGACGUUUUAGUCUGAGUUCUACUGUGCCACUAGCCGGCUGCCAGCUGGCCUGUGUGUGUUUUGAACCUCGUGUGCGUGUGUUGUGCUGAAUCGUGUGGUGUCUUGUAUGCUCUGGUCGAGGCUUUAUAUAUAAAUCGGGGGGAAACCCUAUUUUCGUAAUUGGUGCGUGGAAAUCCUCCUAGCAUUUCCCAUUUGCGUAAGUUCGGAUGUGCUUCAUACAUCCUGAUCUCACCACCACACCGGACAUCUAUGGCCCACACAAAAAGUUGGGGAUCUAUUGGGGCACAAAUCAUCGUCGAUUAUUAAGUACCUAGAACCCCUUACUGGGGAUAUAUUCACAAACCGUCAUGCUGAUUGCAUAUUCAAUGAGGAACAUUUUCCGGCAUUAGGGGGAGAUUUCAAGUACAAUAAAGAAUUCCCGAAAAUUGAUUGGAAUGCUCAUGCCAUUUCAUCCUCUGAUCCACAUACUCAUGAGACCGAACUUCAAGUUUCGAAGAUCAUUAAUUUGCAACAUCUUGCAAAUAAUCUACCAGAUUCAUUUACUGAUCUAAAAGGUGUUACAAAAUCCUUAAAUCCGGACAGAAACGCGCCAAAAAGAGCGGACGUACCAGUAAAAACCACUCAACUCCCUGUUCCUAAAAAGAGGGGGAGUAGUACGACCUGUGACCAGGAGCAAGCUUCUAGCAAGUAGCAAAGGAAAUCAAGGAGAAAAACCUCGAAGUGAGUAAAUGCAGGUCAAAUCAAAAUUGACAAACACGUCAUGGGUAGUAUACACCUAGUGGAGGGGCAACCUCCACAACCCAGCUCCAGUUUGCAUAAACUAGCUGGAACAUCAGAACACCCAGACUCAAUCAUAUUGGGAAAUCACGAAGAGUCUCUAGGGGUGCAGGAAAUUUCCAUCAACUAUGUUGAUUCUGGAGAAUCAUUUGACCGUAAGACUACGACUGUUGACAUAUAUUUUGCUGAAUAGAUUGCAGAUAUCCUUCUUACUGAUCAUGGUCCAAGGUCUAUCGUUGAGUGCCAAAUUCAUUCCGACUGUCCUAAAUGGAAGGAUGCAAUCCAUAGAAAUUGCCUUGCUUAACAAAAGAAAGGUAUUCACUGAAGCAAUACCUACACCUCCCAAUGUUUUCCCUGUUGGAUUCAAAUGUUGUUUUUCAGAAACGAAAUGAGAACAAUGAGGCGGGAUAUAAAGGAAGGCUCGUAGCAGAAGGUUUCACGUUGAAACCCGACAUUGAUUUCAAUGAAACAUACUCUCCAGUAAUGAGUGGAACCACUUUCCGGUAUAUUAUAUCUUUGGCAGUGCAAAAUCGUCUAUCAUGCAGUUGAUGGACAUCGUGACCUCAUAUCUUUACGGGUCACUGGAUUCAGACAUAUAUAUGAAGGUUCCUCACAGAAUCUCCGUCUCAAAUAAAAGUGCAAAUCGCAACAUGUAUUGUGUAAAGCUGAAUAAGUCACUGUAUGGCUUAAGGCAGUCGGGACGGAUGUGGUACAACCGACUAAUUGAAUUCCUUCUUCAGAAAGGUUACUCCAAUAGUGAUGAUUGCCCAUGUAUCUUCAUCAAGAAGUCCUCUACACAAUUUUUCAUUACUUAUGUGUAUGUUGAUGAUAUCAACAUCAUUGGCAACACACCAUACAUUGAUGAAGCAAGCAAUCACCUAAAGAUGGAAUUUGUGAUGACGAAUUUGGGUAAAACCAAAUUUUUCUUAGGUAUUCAACUUGAGCACCUUCCCUCAAUAAUCCUGGUACACCAAGGUGCCUAUAUCUAGAAAAUAUUGGAGAAAUUCAAUAUGAACAAAUCCUAUCCAUCUAAAACUCCUAUGGUGGUUCGAUCUCUAGACGCAGAGAAAGAUCCAUUCAUGCCAAAGGAUGACGGAGAAGAGGUGUUGGGACCUGAAGUUCCAUACCUCAGUGCCACUGGAGCGCUUAUGUAUCUUGCAAAUUGCACAAGACCUGAUAUUGCAUUUGCAGUGAAUCUACUUGCUAGACAUAGCUCAACUCGCACCAAAUAUCAUUGGUCUGGACUGAAGAAUAUCUUUCAAUAUCUCCAAGGCACAAAGGAUCUUGGCCUAUUUUUCCAGUUCGAGAGAAAUCAGGACUCUCAUAUGAUUGGAUAUGCAGAUGCCAGCUAUUUGCCUGACCCCCAUAAGGCAAGAUCUCAGACUGGUUUUGUGUUCCUACUUGGUGGUAUUGCCAUAUCAUGGAAUUCUUCAAAACAUACUCUCAUGGCAACAUCUACAAAUCAUUCUGAAAUAAUUUCAUUAUUUAAAGCAUCAUGUGAAUGUGUAUGGCUUUGCAGAAUGAUAAACCACAUUCAGCAGUCAUGUGGAAUUGGUUCGAUAGAAUCACCCACCAUUAUCUAUGAGAAUAAUGCGAUGUGUGUUGCACAGAUGCAAACAUGGUACAUCAAGAGCAAUAUCACUAAGCAUAUUUCUCCUAAGUGUUUUCCCCCAUAAUCUUCAGAAAAGCGGGGAAAUAAGCAUCUUGCAAGUCAAAUCAUGUGACAACCUUGAUGAUUUAUUUACUAAGUCUCUACCAAACUCAACAUUCCAGAAAUAUGUUCAUGAAUUGGUCUGCGAUGACUUAGAGACUUGCGGGCAUCAAAGGGAGUCUCUUCUUCACAUAUCCUUGUUCAAUGACAUCACAUUACGUUAUAUCUUUGUGAGUUUAUGUUUCAGGUUCUCAUCAAGUUUUCACAAAGAACUUUUUGGAGGAGAACCCUUUUUGAGAUGAUAGCGCUACCCCGACAAUUGUGAGAUGAUUCUACAUGGUCAAGCAUAGAUUAGGGGGAGUGUUAAGAUUAAUUACAACUGUAAUUAGGGGUAAUCUCCCCUUUCCCAACCGCCGUACGGCUUCCUCCCGCACGGACGCGUCUUUGGCUGAGACCAACGCCUGUCCGAACCGUCGUGUAUCUCCAGACAAUAUAAAUGGCAACCUGUAAUCAUCGAUGAGAUUGAUCGAAUCAUUGUGGAUUCAAACACAUCCAAGCAAACACACCCUAAUUGUGUAGAGGUAGGUUGUGGCACGAUAGGCCAAUCUCAAACAUCCACUAUUGUGAUCUGACGAGCGAGAACGUCAAAUUGAUGUGGAUAGUGUUGGAAAUAUGCCCUAGAGGCAAU